UGAACUCCUGACCCUGUGAUUUACCCACUUUGGCCUCCCAAAGUGUUGGGAUUACAGGCGUGAGCCACCGUGCCCGGCUGAAAUUUUCUAUCUGGAAGCAUCCUCUGCACAUUCAAUGUGGUGGUUCAACCUGCAUUUUAAUCUUGGAGCUCAGUCUAGGGUGUCAUACUGGGAGUUGAGUUUGGGAUACAUGGACUUAUAAAGCAUCAUGCAUAGAAUUUUGGGGUGUCUGUGUCUUUCUUCCCUCCCGCCCUCCCUUCCUUCCUUUUUUUUUUAAUUUUUAUGGAUUCUCACUCUGUUGCCCAAGCUGGAGUGCAGUGGUGCCAUGUCGGUUCACUGCAACCUCUGCCUCCGGUUCAAGAAAUUCCCUUGCUUCAGCCUCCUGAGUAGAGUAGCU
rnacentral:lncRNA from 1 species